ACACUGAGUAUUUGUAUGUCGCUCUGGAUAAGAGCGUCUGCUAAAUGACGUAAA
rfam:Salmo salar isolate Sally breed double haploid chromosome ssa23, whole genome shotgun sequence.